rnacentral:rRNA from 1 species
GAUGAACGCUGGCGGCGUGCCUAAUACAUGCAAGUCGAGCGAACAGAUGAGGAGCUUGCUCCUCUGACGUUAGCGGCGGACGGGUGAGUAACACGUGGAUAACCUACCUAUAAGACUGGGAUAACUUCGGGAAACCGGAGCUAAUACCGGAUAAUAUAUUGAACCGCAUGGUUCAAUAGUGAAAGACGGUUUUGCUGUCACUUAUAGAUGGAUCCGCGCCGCAUUAGCUAGUUGGUAAGGUAACGGCUUACCAAGGCAACGAUGCGUAGCCGACCUGAGAGGGUGAUCGGCCACACUGGAACUGAGACACGGUCCAGACUCCUACGGGAGGCAGCAGUAGGGAAUCUUCCGCAAUGGGCGAAAGCCUGACGGAGCAACGCCGCGUGAGUGAUGAAGGUCUUCGGUUCGUAAAACUCUGUUAUAGGGAAGAACAAAUGUGUAAGUAACUAUGCACGUCUUGACGGUACCUAAUCAGAAAGCCACGGCUAACUACGUG